GUACUUUUGGAAUCAUUGUGUAAUAAGCGUUUACAAGGAAACCCAGCUAUACUGCCUCCGAAUGCUAUAUAUUUCUUUAUAAAAUCAUCUAUAGGUUAUUCAGACUGAAGAAGCUAAGCAGCCAGUGUGCUCAACUCUCAGACAACAGCUAAAUCUAGCAAAUACACGUUAAGGAAGACACGAGAGAGAGAAUACGAUUGCGGAACAGAAGGGUGUGAGAGGCAGAGUUUGAGUUCAAAAGAAGUAGGUUGUCUGCUUCUACUCGGUUUGUGGCUUUGAACAUACAGAAUAAGUAGCAGAUUGCUGUUUGCUCCAAUGAUUGUGGACCUACAGUAUAUUUUCGUGAUUUGAACAUGAAUCAUCGGACGGUCUAAAGAGGAAAUGUGCUUCUGCUAAGUGAUGUGUAACCAACGCUGGAAGGACUUUCAUCCCUUGAGCGCUGAUGGCGAGUAUCAGGGGCUCAGCAGAUGUGCUCAUUAACCGGAAGAAUAUUAGAAAUUUGCAAGAUGUCUGUGAGCAGUAUCCGAAGGAUGAACCAAAAUUCGACUGGCUUACCAAGUACCGUAAGAUGUCAAAAGGAGCUCGAUCACUAAGAAAGUCAAUUGGAGCAACAACUGGCAAGAUGAGUCGAAUUAAGAAAUCAGAAAGAGCAGACGCAGCCAACAACAGCGGACAGAUGAAAGAGGAUGAACGGACCAGAGGAGAUGGCGUGCAUGAAAGUCAGGAGAGAGUGAAGAGUGAGGUGAGAGAUGACCUGAUCCGAAACUCCCAGCCCAUCCUGUCAAAUAAAUCCCAGAUGCUCGGCAUGCCCCAGUACGGCCUGCGGGAUAACCUCAUCAAAUGUGAGCUCCUCAAGAACGAGGAUGCCUACACCUACAUCAAGAACUACAGCUUUUUCUUGGGCACCUACAAUGUGAAUGGCAAGAAUCCAAAGGAAAGUCUCAGUCCAUGGCUGGCAUCCACCACCACUCCUCCAGACUUUUACCUUGUGGCUUUCCAAGAGCUGGAUCUCAGUAAAGAGGCGUUUCUCUUCAAUGACACUCCUAAAGAACCCGAGUGGAUGUUAGCUGUCUACAAGGGCCUCCAUCCAGAUGCCAAGUAUGCUUUUGUGAAGCUGGUGCGGUUGGUGGGCAUCAUGCUGUUGUUCUAUGUGAAGGCGGAGCAUGCGGCACACAUCUCUGAGGUGGAGGUUGAGAGCGUCGGCACAGGUGUCAUGGGACGGAUGGUGAGUGACGUCUGUUUUUAUGAAAACAGUUAUUCAGGACUCUACAGUGCCAGGGCUUGCAA
rnacentral:lncRNA from 1 species